CUAAACUGAGGAAAGUCGACCGAUACUGAUCGGCUAGAGGGACGUAGAGGUAAGCGGAACUCUCGGAGUAGCGGUGAAAUGCGUAGAGACCGAGAGGUACCCCGAUGGUGAAGACAGCUUACUGGGCGUCUCCUGACGCUGAAGCGCUAAGGCCAGGGGAGCGAAGGGGAUUAGAUACCCCCGUAGUCCUGGCUUCAAACUACGUGGGCUUGGUGUCGGCUCCCGAUAGAGAGUCGUUGCCGGAGCUAACGUGUUAAGCCCACCGCCUGGGGAUUACGUCCGCAAGGAUGAAACUCAAGAGAAUUGACGGGGGCCCACACAACCGGUGGAGCACGUGGUUUAAUUCGAUGAUAAGCGAAGAACCUUACCAGGGCUUGACCUAGCGGUAGUAGAACCCUGAAAAGGGAACGACCUCAAGCUUUGCUUGAGGAGCC
rnacentral:rRNA from 1 species